rnacentral:rRNA from 1 species
UACGAAGGGGGCUAGCGUUGUUCGGAAUACUGGGCGUAAGCGCAACGCAGGCGGAGUUGAUUAGUCGGGGGGUGAAAUCCCGGGGCUCAACCUCGGAAUUGCCUUCGAUACUGUCAGUCUUGAGUCCGGGGAGAGGUGAGUGGAAUUCCUAGUGUAGAGGUGAAAUUCGUAGAUAUUAGGAAGAACACCAGUGGCGAAGGCGGCUCACUGGCCCGGUACUGACGCUCAUGUGCGAAAGCGUGGGGGAGCAAACACGG